rnacentral:rRNA from 1 species
AUACGUAGGUGGCGAGCGUUGUCCGGAAUUACUGGGUGUAAAGGGCGUGUAGGCGGGGAUGUAAGUCAGAUGUGAAAUUCCGGGGCUCAACCCCGGCGCUGCAUCUGAAACUAUGUCUCUUGAGUGCUGGAGAGGAAAGCGGAAUUCCUAGUGUAGCGGUGAAAUGCGUAGAUAUUAGGAGGAACACCAGUGGCGAAGGCGGCUUUCUGGACAGUAACUGACGCUGAGGCGCGAAAGCGUGGGGAGCAAACAGGAUUAGAUACCCUGGUAGUCCACGCCGUAAACGAUGGAUACUAGGUGUAGGAGGUAUCGACCCCUUCUGUGCCGGAGUUAACACAAUAAGUAUCCCACCUGGGGAGUACGGCCGCAAGGUUGAA